CAUAAAGCCAAAAAUGGUGAGUUUCUUGUGACAUGAAAGUUUCUCCAAAUGGGUCAAAACAUCACAAAAUGACACUUAUUUAUGCUAUUAACUAUUCUUUUCAUUAUUUAGAGGUUGUUGUCUAAUGAAUGACAUGAAGGAACCCUUAUCCCUAUCAUAGUUUUUUCGACAAUUAUAAUUGUCGGCCAAGGGAUGGAAGGGCAGAGUCCUUUGGUAUCCCCCCCAGUCAAGAAUUGUUUGUCAUCAACAAAUUAACAAACAAAUACUCAAAUAAAACCAACCAUACAUGCAUCAAGUUCAUUCAGUUAAAACUGACAUAAGACCACCACACAUGAAAUCCAACAACUCAAAAAGAAACUUAAACUCAAUUAAGAAGCUCUAGACUGUGAAUUAAAAGGAAUGUGCUAAGCAAAACUACCUAAAUAGCAAAUUAAAGGUCCUGCAACUUUAAAGUCCUCUACACAACUUGAAAUCCUAGAGGAUUUCCGAUUGUUGUCAUCUGAGAAAAAGGUGAAAGAAAGCACUUAAAGAUUCGAUUCGGAGGAAAUAUUAGGUUGAUUGAAGAAGAUGAUUGGAGAUUGGAGAUCGGAGAAGUUGAUCGGAGAAGAUGAUCGGAGAUCGGAGAAGAUGUUUGGAGAUCGGAGAAGAUGAUCGGAGAUCGGAGAAGAUGUUCAGAGAUCGGAGAAGAUGAUCGGAGAUCGGAGAAGAUUGAAUCGAAAAGAUGAAAGAUUGGCCGGAAAGAUAACUGUUUCGCCGGAAAAUAACAAGCAUAGUGAUAGUCUAUAUAUAUACAAAUGAGGAAUAACCAACUAACAAACAAUCCUCAACAAACUAACUAACACUAUACAUACAACUCUACCAGUAUACUCUAAUAUAUAGCAAAAGAGCAAAAACGUUAGCAAGUCACAUUGAAGCUGAGAGGGAAAAAAUGAGGGGUCAAAUUAGUAAACAAUUGAGAGGGAUGAAAUGUGUAAAAGGCACCGACUUUGUGCUUUAAAUUAGAUAAUAAUUUGUAAAACUGAUAUAAUGAGGUAUGGAAGUUAACUCACUUUCAGAGUGUGUGCUUUUUCAUCAUAU